GACGAACGCUGGCGGCGUGCUUAACACAUGCAAGUCGAACGGUGAAGGGACCGGUUUUUGCUGGUUCUGGAUGAGUGGCGAACGGGUGAGUAACACGUGAGUAACCUGCCCCCUUCUUCUGGAUAACCGCAUGAAAGUGUGGCUAAUACGGGAUAUUCUGCGCCUGCUGCAUGGUGGGUGUGGGGAAGAUAUUGUUUCGGUGGGGGAUGGGCUCGCGGCCUAUCAGCUUGUUGGUGGGGUGAUGGCCUACCAAGGCGGUGACGGGUAGCCGGCCUGAGAGGGUGGACGGUCACACUGGGACUGAGACACGGCCCAGACUCCUACGGGAGGCAGCAGUGGGGAAUAUUGCACAAUGGGCGCAAGCCUGAUGCAGCGACGCCGCGUGAGGGAUGGAGGCCUUCGGGUUGUAAACCUCUUUCGCCAGUGAAGCAGGCCUGUCCCUUUUGUGGGUGGGUUGACGGUAGCUGGAUAAGAAGCGCCGGCUAACUACGUG
rnacentral:rRNA from 1 species